rnacentral:rRNA from 1 species
GUAUCCUACGGGACGCAGCAGUGGGGAAUAUUGCACAAUGGGGGAAACCCUGAUGCAGCGACGCCGCGUGAGUGAAGAAGAAAUUCGUUAUGUAAAGCUCUAUCAGCAGGGAAGAAAAUGACGGUACCUGAGUGAGAAGCCCCGGCUAACUACGUGCCAGCAGCCGCGGUAAUACGUAGGGGGCAAGCGUUAUCCGGAUUUACUGGGUGUAAAGGGAGCGUAGACGGCCAGACAAGUCAGAAGUGAAAACCCGCGGCUCAACUGCGGGAGUGCUUUUGAAACUGGUUGGCUGGAGUGCAGGAGAG